AGGGCGUCUAGGCGGUCGGUCAAGUCAGUCGUGAAAGUCCUUGGCUAAACUGAGGAAAGUCGACCGAUACUGAUCGACUAGAGGGACGUAGAGGUAAGCGGAACUCUCGGAGUAGCGGUGAAAUGCGUAGAGACCGAGAGGUACCCCGAUGGUGAAGACAGCUUACUGGGCGUCUCCUGACGCUGAAGCGCUAAGGCCAGGGGAGCGAAGGGGAUUAGAUACCCCCGUAGUCCUGGCUUCAAACUAUGUGGGCUUGGUGUCGGCUCCCGAUAGAGAGUCGUUGCCGGAGCUAACGUGUUAAGCCCACCGCCUGGGGAUUACGUCCGCAAGGAUGAAACUCAAGGGAAUUGACGGGGGCCCACACAACCGGUGGAGCACGUGGUUUAAUUCGAUGAUAAGCGAAGAACCUUACCAGGGCUUGACCUAGCGGUGGUAGGAUCCUGAAAAGGAAACGACCUCAAGCUUUGCUUGAGGAGCCGUGGCAGGUAUUGCAUGGCUGUCGUCAGCUCGUGUCGUGGGACGUUGGGUUAAGUCCCGUAACGAGCGAAACCCCUGCCCUUAAUUGCCAGCGGGUAAUGCCGGGGACUAUAAGGGGACUGCCGGAGAAUAUCCGGAGGAAGGAGGGGAUGACGUCAAGUCAUUAUGAUCCUUAUGCUCUGGGCGACACACGUGCUACAAUGGGUACUACAGUGAGGAGCAAGUCUGCAAGGACCAGCAAAUCUCAAAAAGGUGCCCUCAGUGCGGAUUGGGGUCUGCAACUCGACCCCAUGAAGAUGGAAUCGGUAGUAAUCGCGGGUCAGCCACACCGCGGUGAAUACGUACUUGGGCCUUGUACACACCGCCCGUCACACCA
rnacentral:rRNA from 1 species